AUUGAACGCUGGCGGCAUGCUUUACACAUGCAAGUCGAACGGCAGCAUGAUCUAUUUGUCGAGUUCGAUGGCGAGUGGCGGACGGGUGAGUAAUACAUCAGCACGCGUUCUGUAGUGGGGGAUAUCUAGUCGAUAGGGUAGAUAAUAGCGCAUACGACCUGAUGGUGGGAGUGGGUGGCAACAUUUCCGCAUUCUGUAAUAGCGUCCGGUGUCUGAUUAGCUAGUUGGUGAGGUAAAGGCUCACCAAGGCGACGAUCAGUAGGUGGUCUGAGAGGACGAUCAGCCACACUGGAACUGAGACACGGCCCAGACUCCUACGGGAGGCAGCAGUGGGGAAUUUUGGACAAUGGGCGAAAGCCUGAUCCAGCAAUGCCGCGUGUGUGAAGAAGGCCUUCGGGUUGUAAAGCACUUUUGUGCGGAAAGAAAUGGUUUUGGUUAAUACCUGGGGUCGAUGACGGUACCGGAUGAAUAAGCACCGGCUAACUACGUG
rnacentral:rRNA from 1 species